rnacentral:rRNA from 1 species
UACAGGGGGUGCAAGCGUUGCUCGGAAUUACUGGGCGUAAAGCGUGCGUAGGUGGUUUGUUAAGUCUGUUGUGAAAGCCCCGGGCUCAACCUGGGAAUGGCAAUGGAUACUGGCAGGCUAGAGUGCGGUAGAGGGUAGUGGAAUUCCCGGUGUAGCGGUGAAAUGCGUAGAGAUCGGGAGGAACACCAGUGGCGAAGGCGGCUACCUGGACCAGCACUGACACUGAGGCACGAAAGCGUGGGGAGCAAACAGG